rnacentral:rRNA from 1 species
AUUGAACGCUGGCGGCAGGCCUAACACAUGCAAGUCGAACGAGUGGCGGACGGGUGAGUAAUGUCUGGGAAACUGCCCGAUGGAGGGGGAUAACUACUGGAAACGGUAGCUAAUACCGCAUACCAUCGGAUGAGCCCAGAUGGGAUUAGCUAGUAGGUGGGGUAACGGCUCACCUAGGCGACGAUCCCUAGCUGGUCUGAGAGGAUGACCAACCACACUGGAACUGAGACACGGUGCAGACUCCGACGGGAGGCAUCAGUGGGGAAUAUUGCACAAUGGGCGCAAGCAUGAUGCAGCCAUGCCGCGUGUAUGAAGAAGGCCUUAGGGUUUUAAAGUACUUUCAGCUGGGAGGCGUUACGCACAGAAGAGGCACCGGCUAACUCCGUGCCAGCAGCCGCGGUAAUAC